rnacentral:rRNA from 1 species
CACGUAGGGUGCGAGCGUUGUCCGGAAUUAUUGGGCGUAAAGAGCUCGUAGGCGGUGUGUCGCGUCGGCCGUGAAAACUUGGGGCUUAACUCUGAGCGUGCGGUCGAUACGGGCAUCACUUGAGUUCGGCAGGGGAGACUGGAAUUCCUGGUGUAGCGGUGAAAUGCGCAGAUAUCAGGAGGAACACCGGUGGCGAAGGCGGUUCUCUGGGCCUGUACUGACGCUGAGGAACGAAAGCGUGGGGAGCGAACAGG